rnacentral:sRNA from 13 species
GCAGCCGCAAAAUCGGCUGCCGGGAUUGGAACCCCGGACAUUACAAGAGCGCACAACCGCGCUAUAAGCGGUUUUUUU